GAUAGGGCCUCGCUGCCUUGCCCGUCUGGCGCCAUAUUCACCCAUGUCUUUUUGCGUACUACUUGUUUCCUUGGCGGGUCCGCCCGCCAAUUGGACCUUAUUCAAACCUUUUUUUCAGUUGCAAUCAGCGUCAGCAAAGGUCGCGCGUCCAUGAAGCUUCUUUCAACCUUUUGACACGCAGCGAAAUGCGAUAAGUAGUGUGAAUUGCAGAAUUCAGUGAAUCAUCGAAUCUUUGAACGCACAUUGCGCCCUUUGGUAUUCCAAAGGGCAUGCCUGUUCNAGCGUCAUUUGUACCCUCAAGCUUUGCUUGGUGUUGGGCGUCUUGUCUCUCUCCCGAGACUCGCCUUAAAAUCAUUGGCAGCCGGCCUACUGGUUUCGGAGCGCAGCACAUUAUUUGCGCUCUUGUCCAGCCGCACAAAUGUAAUCAAUUACAACUUUCAACAACGGAUCUCUUGGUUCUGGCAUCGAUGAAGA
rnacentral:rRNA from 1 species